UACGUAGGGGGCGAGCGUUAUCCGGAUUUAUUGGGCGUAAAGCGUGCGUAGGCGGUUUAUUAAGUUUAAGAUAAAAGCCCGAGGCUUAACUUCGGUUCGUCUUAAAAACUGGUAGACUUGAGUGUGGUAGAGGUAAAUGGAAUUUCUAGUGUAGCGGUGAAAUGCGUAGAUAUUAGAAGGAACACCAGUGGCGAAGGCGAUUUACUGGGCCACAACUGACGCUCGAGCACGAAAGCGUGGGUAGC
rnacentral:rRNA from 1 species